UACAGAGGUCCCAAGCGUUGUUCGGAUUCACUGGGCGUAAAGGGUGCGUAGGUGGCCAGGUAAGUUCGGUGUGAAAGCUCGGAGCCUAACUCCGAAAUGGCAUUGAAUACUAUCUGGCUGGAGGGUCGGAGGGGAGACUGGAAUUCCUGGUGUAGCGGUGAAAUGCGCAGAUAUCAGGAGGAACACCGGUGGCGAAGGCGGGUCUCUGGGCCGAUACUGACGCUGAGGAGCGAAAGCGUGGGGAGCGAACAGG
rnacentral:rRNA from 1 species